CAAGUCGAACGGCCUUAUGAUUUAUCAUUUGGACAGUGGCAGACUGGUGAGUAACGCGUGGAUAAUCUGCCCCGAAGAUGAGGAUAGCUCGCCGAAAGGUGAGGUAAUCCUCAAUGGUGUGGGAAGUACAUAUGUACAUCCCACUAAAGCUUUAGCGCUUCGGGAUGAGUCUGCGUCCUAUCAGCUUGUUGGUAGAGUAAAGGUCUACCAAGGCUAAGACGGGUAACUGGUCUGAGAGGAUGGUCAGUCACAGUGGCACUGAAACACGGGCCACACUCCUACGGGAGGCAGCAAUUAGGAAUCUUGCACAAUGGAGGAAACUCUGAUGCAGCGACACCGCGUGAAGGAUGAAGACCCUCGGGUUGUAAACUUCUUUUAUAAUCUAACAAGUUCUGAGUGGAGUAUGAAUAAGCACCUGCUAACUGCGUGCCAGAAGCAUCGGUGAAGCGUGGGGUGCGAGCGUUAUCCGGAUUUAUUGGGCGUAAAGAGAUGCGUAGGCGUUUUGGUAAGUCUUCUGUCAAAGCCUUCGGCCUAACCGAAGAAAGGCAGAGGAUACUAUCAGAAUUGAGACAGAGAGGGGGAAGUGGAAUUCCCGGUGGAGCGGUGAAAUGCGUUGAUAUCGGGAGGAACACCAGUGGCGAAGGCAACUUCCUGGCUCUGUUCUGACGCUGAGGCUCGAAAGCGUGGAGAGCAAAGCGGAUUAGAUACCCGUGUAGUCCAUGCUGUAAACGUUGGAUACUGGACGUU
rnacentral:rRNA from 1 species